rnacentral:rRNA from 1 species
GGGUGAGUAACACGUAAACAACCUGCCUUCAGGAUGGGGACAACAGACGGAAACGACUGCUAAUACCGAAUACCUUCCAAUUUCCGCAUGGAGAUAGGAAGAAAGGGUGGCCUCUACUUGUAAGCUAUCGCCUGAAGAGGGGUUUGCGUCUGAUUAGCUGGUUGGUGAGGUAACGGCCCACCAAGGCGACGAUCAGUAGCCGGUCUGAGAGGAUGAACGGCCACACUGGAACUGAGACACGGUCCAGACUCCUACGGGAGGCAGCAGUGGGGAAUCUUCCGCAAUGGACGAAAGUCUGACGGAGCAACGCCGCGUGAACGAUGAAGGUCUUCGGAUUGUAAAGUUCUGUGAUCCGGGACGAAGGCAUCAGUUGAGAACAUUGAUUGAUGUUGACGGUACCGGAAAAGCAAGCCACGGCUAACUACGUGCCAGC